AUACGGGGUAAGAAACCAAAGAAUAAAAGAAAGGAAGGCCGCACGAAGUUAAUGAAAAGCAAGCAACGUGGGGAAGAAGGAACAGGGCAGACGUGGGGACCCCAAAGGGCGGCGGAGGGCGUGGAGAAGGCCGAGCCGGGGAGUUGCCUGCGGCGUGGAAGGCUUCCGGGAGGAAAACUGGGCCCGCGCCGGCGUCGCGCCGGGAGCAAAGCUGAAGCGGCCCGCGCCUGAGGCGGAGCCCCAAAGCGGGAACGCCGGGUCCGGCCCAAGGGCCGUAGGCCGCGAAGGGCGCCGGGGACCCGCGAAAACCGCAGGAAGCGCCCCGAGAACGUGCAGGAGGCCGCGACCCAGCCCCGGCCCGGUUCCCUCAUUCAAGCCGCCUUCCCUUCCCCCUUCUCCAAUCCCAUGCGGUCCUGGCCCCCAGCUGCCGCGCGUCUUCGACCCACCCUCUACCCCGGCCCUUCGCGAGGCGGGCCGAGCCCCUGGGACGCCGGAGCGCCAAGAUGUAAGGGCCCGCCGACUUUGAAAGCGGUAUGGAGACAGCCAGUUGAUUGGUCGCUCGGAGGCUUUAUGGGAAACGAGACUUCAGCAACGGGGAACUGCCGGCGCCCUCUCGCGGGGAUGUUUCAAUGCUGCAAUACCAAGAAGUAAGCAAGCAAUAUCCAAGGACUGCUGCAGCUUCUCUGUCACAGGUUGCCUGGGUUUGAAUCCUGGAUCUGCCUUUUACCUGCCGCAUAAUUUGGGACAAUUUAUUUCCACUCUUUGUGCCAAAGUUUCCCCAUCUUAAAAUGGGAAUAAUAAUUGUAUCUCCGCA